CCAAAUGGAUGGCUGAGAUAGAACGUGAUGACAUCGACAUGUUGAAAGAACUGGGGAGUCUCACCACGGCUAAUUUGAUGGAGAAGGUUCGAGGCCUACAGAACCUAGCCUAUCAGCUGGGGCUGGAUGAGUGAUGCUGGACAUCAGGCAACAAAGGACAGUAAUCACUAAAGAGAAAGGUGAACUUUGUGACUGCCCCAAGCUUACUGCUUUGAAAGAAUUUCCAGGCUGUGGUGCAGGGAGAGGGACCCAGGCAGAGGCUGGUGGGCUUCCUGAGUUGAAGAAAUGGAGCUGAGAGUGUGGAGAGGCCAAGACAGCUAGAGUUCACAGGACAGCAGAGUACCGGAGAGGAGAGGGCGGCACAGAGAAAGAAGAGAGAUCCACAGAGGGUCCUCCUGGAGUAUUUAGCUGAGGACUGAUCAGCACAUUCAUGUGAGGGAGCUUCUUGAGGAUGAAGAAAGAACCAUCCAAAAGGAUUGGAAGGAACAGUGCCUGGCACCACUGGGCCAGUAAUAGUGCCUACUCCCACUGGACUGGAGAAACCUCAUCAUUCACAGGACACCAGGGAGGACUCAAAAGGAUCUUGCCUCUGUAGUGUGGAAUACAUCUGUCAAAACAUACCAAACUAUACACUUCAAA
rnacentral:lncRNA from 10 species